UAGGGAAUCUUCGGCAAUGGGGGGAACCCUGACCGAGCAACGCCGCGUGAGUGAAGAAGGUUUUCGGAUCGUAAAGCUCUGUUGUUAAGGAAGAACGAGUGUGAGAAUGGAAAGUUCAUGCUGUGACGGUACUUAACCAGAAAGGGACGGCUAACUACGUGCCAGCAGCCGCGGUAAUACGUAGGUCCCGAGCGUUGUCCGGAUUUAUUGGGCGUAAAGCGAGCGCAGGCGGUUAGAAAAGUCUGAAGUGAAAGGCAGUGGCUCAACCAUUGUAGGCUUUGGAAACUGUUUAACUUGAGUGCAGAAGGGGAGAGUGGAAUUCCAUGUGUAGCGAUGAAAUGCGUAGAUAUUAGGAGGAAUACCGGUGGCGAAGGCGACUUUCUGGCCAUAAACUGACGCUGAGGUACGAAAGCGUGGGUAGCAAACAGG
rnacentral:rRNA from 1 species